rnacentral:misc_RNA from 1 species
AAAGAACGAUAGCCACGGAGGAUAUCUGAAGUGAGAAUCAUAUGCUUCUAGUAGAGCUUCAUUUGUGUAGUCCAUAAGGAGUUUAGGCUCGGAAUGGCAUUGUAGUGCUAAUGUCUCUAGUUCAUCGGAUAGCAUUGCAUCGAGCAUUUGUUCUGAAAGAUGCCUAUUUAGCCAAAGUUCUUCCCAAUUCAAGUGAAGAGUAUGCAAACUUGACUGAAUGUAAGU